UGUCCAAAAAAGCCUCAUCAUAAGGGCGUUCUCAAACAUCAUGAAUACGUUUGUAAAACGGUGUCUGGUGAUGUCUUAAGCUCUGGCGUGAAGAUGCUACAGAAACAGCAGCUGCAGUGUAAUGACGAGAACCAAUGCGGACCUAAUGAAUGCUGCCUCCAGAUUUCAUGUAACAGUAUUGAAAAAAAGCCAAAGGUUGACGUGUUGACAGUCUGUAGUUUGAUUCCACAAAUUGAUCAUCCAUGCCAUCUUGGAUCAAACGAGGUAGCAUUCACAUGUCCUUGCGGACAAAACCUCACUUGUAGUCACUCUGAAGGCACUAAAUACGGACAAUACAGAGAGAAGUACUACAAAUGUCUCUGCAAACACUCAGACGACACCAAAAAGUGUGACAAAUAUAAGAAAGACAUGGAACGGUACCAAAGCAACCCGGGCUCGGUCUGCAGGUCUGACACACAUGCAACAUCACUGGUACUGGUUUAGUUUACAAAUUUACUUUUUCCCUAAGUCCUCUUGUACAUAUAGUUUGUUGUCUUCUAGUCUACACACUGCAGUGCCUGCAGUGAUAAUCAAUGCUGCUUGCAGAUCGCAUGCAAACGCAUUGAACAGAAACCUAAAGUUGACACCAUCAGUGUCUGCAGUGCAAUACCACGCAAUGGAGACUAUUGUGAUUCCCGAUCAACAGGAACCACGUUGGCAUGUCGGUGUGCACAGAAUUACACUUGCAGCAGCUCUGGUAGCACAAAAUAUGCUGAAAUCAGAGAGAAAUUUUAUCGGUGUCUCUGCCGACACCCCGAUGAUUCAAAAAAGUGUGAAAAAUACAAAAGAGACAUGGAGAAAUAUGGAAACAACCCGGGAUGGGUUUGCAGACUCUCAACGGAACCGAUGUUCCAACAGUGUGGUGGUAGCAGCUGUAGCUCAAACCAGUGCUGUUUGCAGAUCUCAUGUAACAAAAUCGAG